CUACGGGUGGCUGCAGUGAGGAAUAUUUGUCAAUGGGCGCGAGCCUGAACCAGCCAAGUCGCGUGAGGGAAGACGGUCCUAUGGAUUGUAAACCUCUUUUGUCGGGGAGCAAAAGCCUCCCCCCGUUGCGUUCCUAUAGUACCCGUAUAAAAAGCAUCGGCUCACUCCGUGCCAGCAGCCGCGGUAAUACGGAGGAUGCGAGCGUUAUCCGGAUUUUUUGGGUUUUAAGGGUGCGCAGGCGGAAGAUAAAGUCAGCGGUAAAAUUGAGAGGAUAAACCUCUGCGAGCCGUUGAAACUGGUUGUCUUGAGUGAGUGAGAAGUAUGCGGAAUGCGUGGUGUAGCGGUGAAAUGCAUAGAUAUCACGCAGAACUCCGAUUGCGAAGGCAGCAUACCGGCGCUCAACUGACGCUCAUGCACGAAAGUGUGGGUAUCGAACAGGAUUAGAUACCCUAGUAGUC
rnacentral:rRNA from 1 species